UUGGUAAUUGGUUAUAUAAGCCUUUAUAUUUUGUUGUUGUUCUGUUGAACAACAACAAAAUAUAGACUUUUAUAACCAAUUAGCAA
rnacentral:miRNA from 1 species